CAGUAGCCACGGGAAUACAGAGGGUGCGAGCGUUAAUCGGAUUUACUGGGCGUAAAGCGUGCGUAGGCGGCUAAUUGAGUCGGAUGUGAAAUCCUUGAGCUUAACUUGGGAAUUGCAUUCGAUACUGGUUAGCUAGAGUGUGGGAGAGGAUGGUAGAAUUCCAGGUGUAGCGGUGAAAUGCGUAGAGAUCUGGAGGAAUACCGAUGGCGAAGGCAGCCAUCUGGCCUAACACUGACGCUGAGGUACGAAAGCAUGGGGAGCAAACAGGAUUAGAUACCCGUGUAGUCCCUGUCUCUUAUAC
rnacentral:rRNA from 1 species